ACUGUUCCUUAUGCAUAUUUAACGCUGUUUGUCUGCAGUGCCCAGCUGACGCGGGGCUGGAGGCUCACACGCGGGACCUGAAUUGUAGGGGAGUAAAUCAUCCACACUUUAAACGCACCUUCUGCCAGGGCUCCAGUUGGGAGCCUCUUGCCAUUGCUCUAAACACAUCCCGGUAGAGGUAGCGUUUGGCAGCGUUUGACGAGGGAGCUGUUAACCUUUGAAGCCAGGACUCGAGGUUCAAACGGCCUCCUUGGCUACUCCCUGUAUCCCCACACACACCCACGUCGCAAGGAUGGAUUUGGCUGCAUCUGGGAUCGAUGCAUCUGUCUCCUAAGGCCUUCUUCUACCUCGGGCUACGCCACCAGGUCCCCUUCAUCUGCUCCCGGAGAGCCAGGGGAUUGGGACAAUAGGUGGAGUGGAUUAUUCAUUCCCGUAGGCAAUACUUCCCUGUAUGGGCUUCAGGAUGCAGUUGGAGGCUCGGGAACAAAGCGGGCACCUAAUGUCAAGGCUUCUUCCAAGGAAGAAAUAAUUCUGCUGGGACCCCAUGCCUGGACUUUGGAAGGCAUGGCACAGCAGUCUGACCUGAAAGUACCGUCCCUGUGGGUAGAAAGUCUCCUCUGUAUCAUGCGCCUUGCAAGGAAGGCAGCAAGGGGAUGUUUGGGGUGACCAGGCAUCUGGCAUCGAGGAGCAGCAAUUCACUUCACACUACUCCGGAGGGAAGUUUGUUCCCAAACCAAAUAUUUUGUGGUACUCAGUACUGGUGUUGAAUUGGUUCGAACCAUCCCAAGUCUAAAAUAAAGAUCUCUA